ensembl:lncRNA
UUCACCGUCUUCCCCACCCCCAAUAGGGUGACCACAGAAGUAAACGAGCCCAGGGCUACACGGGAUCCAUGCCUGUCACCUCCACCAUCAGCCCAGUACCCUUCAAGGUACAGAGUGAAAGAGACUUUUCUCAGAAAGAGAGACUUAGAAGCUUUGUAACUUGGGUGAAUGACACUUCACCCUGCCUUCCACAAAGUUGGCAUCUUGUAUAACUACAAUACACUGUCAAAACCAGAAGACGGAUAUUAGUCCAAUCUACAGACCCUA